GUUGACUCUGUGGGCCUCCAUCCCGCCUGUUGGGAAACUUCCAGAGACAUCCCCAGGGAGGGGGUUCAGAGAGCUUCCUGGCCUGUGGACACACGCAGGUGUGGGGAGAGAGGUGCUCCCGGAGAGGCCACGGGAGUUCUGCCCCCUUCCCCACACCUGGCCCUGUGGAUGACCUCCUCUGGCUGGUCCUGAGUCCUGUCCUGUCACCAUCAACCGUGGCCCGUCCAGGAUCCAUUCUGGGACCCCACGUUAUAUCUUGGCCACGGUGGCUGACUGUCCUCCUGCAUGGGGAAGGCCCUAUAUCUUUCCUGAUGGCCCUACAUCUUUCCUGAUCUUUCGUGACCUGAACACUUGAAGAAUAACGAGAGACAGCGUAUCAGCGGGGGACAUGCAGAGAGAGAGGGAGACACCAAGUCAGAAGCAGGCUCCAGGCUCUGAGCUGUCAGCACCGAGCCCGACGCGGGGCUCGAACUCACAGACCUUGAGAUCGUGACCUGAGCCGAAGUCGGUCGCUUAACUGACCGAGUCACCCAGGCACCCCAGGAUUCUUUUUUCUUAUUGGAAUUUUUACCCAUCAGCUGGAUGACAGUGUUCAGCUCUUAAUUGCCCGCGGACGCUUCUCCAGUGAGUGCCUGACAGUUCUGCCUUUCCGGAACUCACACAUGGGGGAGUAAACAGCCUUUAUUUUUGCAUGUUGGGGAGGAAGAAUUUCCUCUGCCAUUCAAGGUCCUCCUGGUUGGACUAAGAAUCAAGUUGACACGAGGCAGAUGAGCAUGGGAAAAUCACGUUUACUUUACUACAUACGGGGAACCCACACAGACACGGAAAUUCCAACGACAGGCAAAAUGAGAGUCGAGAACCUAAGCGUUUCCGAGAACUGUGUUUAUGGCCUUUUAUUGACCAGGAAUGGCCCCUUCAUAUCCGAUGUCGUCAAAUCCAAGAUGCUUUUCAAGGUCAACUCACUCUGUCACUCUUACUGGGUGAAGACUUGCAAAUCAAUCAGAGCAUUAAGUGGAUCUCCAGAAGUUUCACAGCAAUUUAGAAAUGAAACCAAGAUUUAAUACCAGCCUGCUUAAAAAGGUGCCAUGUCGAUGAUGCACGCCGUGCAACACAGAUGGGAAAAAUCCUCAUGCAAGUUAACAACAUGGUCACGUUUUCCUGUAGUUCUGCCGAAACACAAUUUGUGAGAGCUCCCUCCGUUACCGCCAAGAAAAAGCUUGCCAAGUCCUGAUGCAGAAGAUUGUUGAGUGAAAAACAUCAUUCCCCAGCACCGCCAAGCAUGCGCUAAUCUCUUCUCUGCGUCGUCCAAAUUGUGGCUCCAGAUGUUGUCCCUGAUUCAUGGGGUGUUCACGAAAGCUGGCAAGGCCACCAACAAAUGUGUUACAGCUUUUCUGCUGCAGAUCUGAGCUCAUCACCCACAGCCCCUACCUGUGGCUCACCCUGUGGACCCGCCUUCCCCUGUGUGCCAUGUGGCUGCGAUUUCAACUCUGACGGUCGGGGAAUCCGUGCCUUCCACGUGCCUCCACUUAGAGCCACCUGACAGACAUUUAAGUGGCUCAGACGAAGGACACUGAAAAAACAUAGCGAGACGAGGCUGUCUCGGGCGUUCAAAGGUGUUCGGGAUGUGUGUUUUCCAAAAAAGGUCACUUGACAGAUUAGGGGGAAAAUGCAGUAUUUAAGACAGAAAACUUGCCAUUUCAGUGACUGCUGCACCUUGAAAAACAAACAGAGCGACAAAGCUGGCCUCAAGUUCCCAACUUGUUACAGAAGAAUGAUAAUAAUAGCAUAAAACGGAGAACUGAGCACACAGCCCUCUUCGGAUCCUACGUUCGCCUCUCUCUCUGCGGCCGCGGGGCUCGAACUCAAGAACCGCGAGAUCAUGACCUGACUCACAGAUGCUUAACGGAGCGAGCCACCCAGGCACCCCAAGGAGGGCUUUCAACUACACCAUAGUAAUAAGGUCAAUAUUGGGGAAAACAAAGAAAACCAGAGUGUAUUCCCUAUAUUUUAGUUUGCUUUCACAAACCUUAUUCUGGGGCCAAAAGGCCAAAGAACCUGACACUCAUGAUUGCAUCUGGCACAAUUUUCUGUAAAGUUCUGGAAUGUUCCUCCUCUGCUCUCUCAAGGGCGAAAACACAGAUUUUACAACGCUGCUGACUUUCGAAGGAACACGAAAGCCAAGACUUGGCUUCUCUUGCCAUUCCCUGGAGGUGACGAUAGGGAGGAAUCCAUAAACUUCUCCAACAGUAACAUAAACGAGCGAGGCCAAGUAAAUGAACCCAUCAGAAGGAUG